AACUAAGCCACCAACGUGAUUACAAAAAGUAGAAAUGAGGGGGGGACAAAAAGAAGAAGAAAAAACGAACUUGAAUGAAUGAAAGUAUCCUUCUAUGCAAAAUCUAGAAAAGAAGAUAAAAAAUAAAAGAUCCUGUCUCUUUCUUCUACGUAAGUUCUCUGCUAGUGCUUCCACGGUGUAGCAGACGCGCGUAACACUAGUUUAGGCUGUUUAUCAAGACGAUAAGCAGGCCACUGUGCUUAUGUUGACUUCAAAUGAUCCUCAAAAUCCCCAUCCUGAUGAUCCACUUCUCAAGAAACUGGGAGAUUACCCAGCUUCCCUACUUCUCCCAAGAUCUCAACUCAGGAUCAAAA
rnacentral:misc_RNA from 1 species